rnacentral:lncRNA from 12 species
GACAAUAUUAGAGCCAGUCCCUUUUUGAGAAUUUCUUCAUAUGCUGAAGCAUUAUGGUGCCAACCAGGUAAGCAUUUUGAAAUGGUUCUAUGUCAAGGCAGGUAGGCUAGACCCAACAUGCUGGUAACCUGUAGGUUAGGUGUGGCCUUUAGGGGAUCUAAAUACUUCUGUAUACUUUGGGUAGGAGACAUCUAAGCACUGAAUCAGGACAAAAAAAUCACCAGAAGUUGCUAAACUGAUGUCAUGCCAGGGAUCAAUUAAAUCUCAGGAGAUAUCAAGGAAGCAUUCCUAGUGGUCUUGCCAACCACUGUGUACUAGGGAGGGAAGAAAGCAGCAAGGAAGGGUAUGGAAGCCUCUCCUAUACUCAGAUGCCAUCUUUUGAAGGUAGAUCUGGGGCAAGGAAACACCUAAUGAAGUAAGAAACUUAAAGUUAACCCAAGGAAAUAAUUUUAAUUUGGAAGAGAAGGGAUUUUUCCUCCUGCCUUAAUGGAGUUCUAUAGAAAGAUGAGAUAAGUUAUAGAUAAUGGCAAAAGGUGUGGGAUAUAUCUGAGUUGUUGCAUACACAUUUCAGCCCUACUAUAAGGAUUUAAAACAUCCAGUACUAUCCCAAAGUAAACAUUGACAUUCACUGGUGCUUAAAGUAUAUGCUAUUUUGGUCAGCGGUUGCAUGGUAAGAUAUUCUUUUAUAAAAAAAGAAGCCAUUGAUUCCAGAAUUUUCAUAACUUCUAAGUUUCUUCAUGACUAGGUGGUAGGGUGGAGAAAUUUAAACCUUUCAGGAGAAAUCCAACUGGCCUCCAUGAGCACUUGUCAAAGAACUUGGAACUUCCAGGGGUGAUCAUUGAGCAUCCUGUGAAAGGCGUAAGAAGGAGGGAGAAAUGCCUAUUGCCAAUCAAAGGUGAACUAAGAAAAGUGGCUUCAUUAAACAAUGAAAAGUGUUGUGGAUUCAAGACUCAUACCUAUCCUAUGAAGGAUUCAAUGAAAUAUUGGCCACAGUUCACCUAUGUGGGGAUUUGAGGUUUUGAUUACAGAACAUUGGUCAUCAAUUCU